CCUCAACCUCCUCCACCCCACAUCCUCCAACGUCCUCCAGGUCCUCCAACCCAUCCCCACCUCCUCCAUCCUCCAAGAACUCUUCCAACCCAUGUCCUCAAAGCUCCUUGAUGUCCUCCAAGCCAUGUCCUCAAAGGUUGAGGUCCUCCAACCCAUCCCCAUGUCCUUCAACCUCCUCAACCUCCUCCACCUCUUGUCCUCCAACCUCUUCGAGGUCCUCCACCCCACAUCCUCCAACCUUGACGUCCUCCAACCCAUCCCAACCUCUUCCAACCUCCUUGAGGUCCUCCAAGCCAUGUUCUCAAAGGUUGAGCUCCUCCACCCCAUCCCCAUGUCCUCCAACCUCAUUGACCUCCUCCACCCCACCUCCUUCAACCUCCUUGAGGUCCUCCACCCCACAUCCUCCAACCUCGAGGUCCUCCAACCCAUCUCCACCUCCUCCAACCUCCUCCAACUCUUGUCCUCCAACCUCCUUGACCUCCAAGCCAUGUCCUCAACACUCGUUGAGGUCCUCCAACCCAUCCUCAUGUCCUCCAACCUCCUUGACCUCCUCCAACCCAUGUCCUCCAACCUCCUCGAGGUCCUCCAAACCAUCCCAACCUCUUCAUACCUAUUCAAGGUCCUCCAAUUCUUGUCCUCCAACCUCCUCGACCUCCACCCCACGUCCUCCAACCUCCUCCAGGUC
rnacentral:lncRNA from 1 species